AGCGAACGUUAGCGGCGCGCCUAACACAUGCAAGUCGCACGAGAAAGGGAGCAAUCCCCGGUACAGUGGCGCACGGGUGAGUAACACGUAGAUGACCUUCCCUGGAGUGGUGGAUAACCUGCCGAAAGGCGGGCUAAUACAGCAUGGGACCACAUGGUUUUGACCGAGUGGUGAAAGCGGGCCUCUGUUCACAAGCUCGCGCUCUGGGAUGGGUCUGCGUCCCAUCAGCUAGUUGGUGAGGUAAUGGCUCACCAAGGCAUCGACGGGUAGCUGGUCUGAGAGGAUGACCAGCCACACUGGAACUGAGACACGGUCCAGACUCCUACGGGAGGCAGCAGUGGGGAAUCUUGCGCAAUGGGCGAAAGCCUGACGCAGCGACGCCGCGUGGGUGAUGAAGGCCUCGGUUGUAA
rnacentral:rRNA from 1 species